rnacentral:rRNA from 1 species
GUGACCUGCGGAGGAUCAUUACCGAGUGAGGGCCCUCUGGGUCCAACCUCCCACCCGUGUUUAUUUUACCUUGUUGCUUCGGCGAGCCUGCCUUUUGGCUGCCGGGGGACAUCUGUCCCCGGGUCCGCGCUCGCCGAAGACACCUUAGAACUCUGUCUGAAGAUUGUAGUCUGAGAUUAAAUAUAAAUUAUUUAAAACUUUCAACAACGGAUCUCUUGGUUCCGGCAUCGAUGAAGAACGCAGCGAAAUGCGAUACGUAAUGUGAAUUGCAGAAUUCAGUGAAUCAUCGAGUCUUUGAACGCACAUUGCGCCCUCUGGUAUUCCGGAGGGCAUGCCUGUCCGAGCGUCAUUGCUGCCCUCAAGCACGGCUUGUGUGUUGGGCUCCGUCCUCCUUCCGGGGGACGGGCCCGAAAGGCAGCGGCGGCACCGCGUCCGGUCCUCAAGCGUAUGGGGCUUUGUCACCCGCUUUGUAGGACUGGCCGGCGCCUGCCGAUCAACCAAACUUUUUUCCAGGUUGACCUCGGAUCAGGUAGGGAUACCCGCUGAACUUAAGCAUAUCAAUAAGCGGAGGAAAAGAAACCAACAGGGAUUGCCCCAGUAACGGCGAGUGAAGCGGCAAGAGCUCAAAUKUGAAAGCUGGCUCCUUCGGGGUCCGCAUUGUAAUUUGCAGAGGAUGCUUCGGGAGCGGUCSCCAUCUAAGUGCCCUGGAACGGGACGUCAUAGAGGGUGAGAAUCCSGUAUGGGAKGGGGUGUCSGCGCCCGUGUGAAGCUCCKUCGACGAGUCGAGUUGUUUGGGAAUGCAGCUCUAAAUGGGUGGUAAAUUUCAUCUAAAGCUAAAUAUUGGCCGGAGACCGAUAGCGCACAAGUAGAGUGAUSGAAAGAUGAAAAGCACUUUGAAAAGAGAGUKAAAAAGCACGKGAAAUUGUUGAAAGGGAAGSGSUKGCGACCAGRCUCGCUCGCGGGGKUCAGSCGGCAUUSGUGCCGGUGUACUUCCCCGCGAGCGGGCCAGSGUCGGUUUGGGCGGUCGUCAAAGGCCUSUGGAAGGUAACGCCCCCUCGGGGGCGUCUUAUAGCCAGGGGUGCAAUGCGGCCGGCCCGGACGGGA